rnacentral:lncRNA from 1 species
CCUGGCCGAGGCGGCCGAGCUGCGGGCCCAGCUGGAGGCGGCGCACCAGGAGCGCGACGCCAUGCUGCAGGACCUGCGCGUCACCCAGGACAAGGAGGAGGAUCACCAGCAGCGCAUCUGUGAGCUGGAGACCACCCUCCUGGGCCUGGAGGAGUCGCUCAACAAGCUGGAGCACUGCAACGAGACGCUGCAGCACCAGUUGGCCAACGCCAGCGCCGCCGAGCCGCACGACAGUGAGGAGCUGGCCAAGCUGAAGCAGUCGCAGCUGGUGC